GAUGAACGCUGGCGGCGUGCCUAAUACAUGACAGUCGAGCGAACAGACGAGGAGCUUGCUCCUCUGACGUUAGCGGCGGACGGGUGAGUAACACGUGGAUAACCUACCUAUAAGACUGGGAUAACUUCGGGAAACCGGAGCUAAUACCGGAUAAUAUAUUGAACCGCAUGGUUCAAUAGUGAAAGACGGUUUUGCUGUCACUUAUAGAUGGAUCCGCGCCGCAUUAGCUAGUUGGUAAGGUAACGGCUUACCAAGGCAACGAUGCGUAGCCGACCUGAGAGGGUGAUCGGCCACACUGGAACUGAGACACGGUCCAGACUCCUACGGGAGGCAGCAGUAGGGAAUCUUCCGCAAUGGGCGAAAGCCUGACGGAGCAACGCCGCGUGAGUGAUGAAGGUCUUCGGAUCGUAAAACUCUGUUAUUAGGGAAGAACAAAUGUGUAAGUAACUAUGCACGUCUUGACGGUACCUAAUCAGAAAGCCACGGCUAACUACGUG
rnacentral:rRNA from 1 species